rnacentral:rRNA from 1 species
AUUGAACGCUGGCGGCAGGCUUAACACAUGCACGUCGAGCGGGGUGAUGGUGCUUGCACUAUCACUUAGCGGCGGACGGGUGAGUAAUGCUUAGGAAUCUGCCUAUUAGUGGGGGACAACAUCUCGAAAGGGAUGCUAAUACCGCAUACGUCCUACGGGAGAAAGCAGGGGAUCACUUGUGACCUUGCGCUAAUAGAUGAGCCUAAGUCGGAUUAGCUAGUUGGUGGGGUAAAGGCCUACCAAGGCGACGAUCUGUAGCGGGUCUGAGAGGAUGAUCCGCCGCACUGGGACUGGAACACGGCCCAGACUCCUACGGGAGGGAGCAGUGGGGAAUAUUGGACAAUGGGGGGAACCCUGAUCCAGCCAGGCCGCGUGUGUGAGGAAGGCCUUAUGGUUGUAAAGCACUUUAAGCGGGGAGGAGGCUCUUUUGGUUAAUACCCAAGAUGAGUGGACGUUACUCGCAGAAUAAGCACCGGCUAACUCUGUGCCAGCAGCCGCGGUAA